GAGGUGAACUGCACUCCAGGAACGACCUUCAAGGACAAGUGUAACACCUGCCGCUGCAGCUCCAAUGGCAGGAGCGCCGCCUGCACCUUGAAAGCGUGUCCCCCUGGCUCGUAUUAACCAGCGUUCGUCCGUGAAGGUGACAGAUUGUGUGAUAAGUUCUCUGCAGUCAAAAGAAACAACGCCAUUUCUGUGAUGUGGACCUCCGUCUUUAAUCUCGGCGGCGAAUUUUCAUCUACUUCCAAUUUGUUAUUUGUAAUUUCCUUAUCGUCUUCAAGCAUAAAAAAUAAACACAAUGGUUGUAAUCCAUCAAA